rnacentral:rRNA from 1 species
GUGGGGAAUUUUGGACAAUGGGCGCAAGCCUGAUCCAGCAAUGCCGCGUGCAGGAAGAAGGCCUUCGGGUUGUAAACUGCUUUUGUACGGAACGAAACGGUCCGGGUUAAUACCCUGGGCUAAUGACGGUACCGUAAGAAUAAGCACCGGCUAACUACGUGCCAGCAGCCGCGGUAAUACGUAGGGUGCAAGCGUUAAUCGGAAUUACUGGGCGUAAAGCGUGCGCAGGCGGUUUUGUAAGACAGGCGUGAAAUCCCCGGGCUCAACCUGGGAAUUGCGCUUGUGACUGCAAGGCUGGAGUGCGGCAGAGGGGGAUGGAAUUCCGCGUGUAGCAGUGAAAUGCGUAGAUAUGCAGAGGAACACCGAUGGCGAAGGCAAUCCCCUGGGCCUGCACUGACGCUCAUGCACGAAAGCGUGGGGAGCAAACAGGAUUAGAAACCCGAGUAGUCC